rnacentral:rRNA from 1 species
AACGAACGCUGGCGGCAGGCUUAACACAUGCAAGUCGAGCGCACCGCAAGGGGAGCGGCAGACGGGUGAGUAACGCGUGGGAAUCUACCCAGUUCUACGGAAUAACCCAGGGAAACUUGGACUAAUACCGUAUACGCCCUACGGGGGAAAGAUUUAUCGGAAUUGGAUGAGCCCGCGUUGGAUUAGCUAGUUGGUGGGGUAAUGGCCUACCAAGGCGACGAUCCAUAGCUGGUCAGAGAGGAUGAUCAGCCACACUGGGACUGAGACACGGCCCAGACUCCUGCGGUAGGCAGCAGUGGGGAAUAUUGGACAAUGGGCGAAAGCCUGGUCCAGCCAUGCCGCGUGAGUGAUGAAGGCCUUAGGGUUGUAAAGCUCUUUCAGUGUGGAAGAUAAUGACGGUACCCACAGAAGAAGCCCCGGCUAACUUCGUGCCAGCAGCCGCAGUAAAAC